GAUGAACGCUGGCGGCGUGCUUAACACAUGCAAGUCGAACGAAGCAUUUAGGACAGAUUACUUCGGUUUGAAGUUCUUUAUGACUGAGUGGCGGACGGGUGAGUAACGCGUGGGUAACCUGCCUUGUACUGGGGGAUAGCAGCUGGAAACGGCUGGUAAUACCGCAUAAGCGCACAAUGUUGCAUGACAUGGUGUGAAAAACUCCGGUGGUAUAAGAUGGACCCGCGUCUGAUUAGCUAGUUGGUGAGAUAACAGCCCACCAAGGCGACGAUCAGUAGCCGACCGGAGAGGGUGACCGGCCACAUUGGGACUGAGACACGGCCCAGACUCCUACGGGAGUCAGCAGUGGGGAAUAUUGCACAAUGGAGGAAACUCUGAUGCAGCGACGCCGCGUGAGUGAAGAAGUAAUUCGUUAUGUAAAGCUCUAUCAGCAGGGAAGAUAGUGACGGUACCUGACUAAGAAGCUCCGGCUAAAUACGUG
rnacentral:rRNA from 1 species